rnacentral:tRNA from 1 species
CAGGGAGACAACAAAAUGUAAAAUAUUAAUUUUGUCACCUUAGGUCGAUCGGUAUCUCACAUUCUUAAUUUAUUUAAGGAUUUUAUUUCCUAAGUUUUUUCUAGGUCACACCCAUAAUUUUUCCUGGGCCAUUAGCUCAGGUGGUUAGAGCGCACCCCUGAUAAGGGUGAGGUCCCUGGUUCAAGUCCAGGAUGGCCCAUAUCUCUAUGUUGGGGGUAUAGCUCAGUUGGUAGAGCGCCUGCUUUGCAAGCAGGAUGUCAGCGGUUCGAGUCCGCUUACCUCCACUGAUUACCACCUCUUCCAUGAUUUAUAUGAAGGGAAAUUUUUUGAGUUGUGAUCAAAUUCUGAACGAAUCUAGCUUCCUAAUAAUUUUAUUAAGAUGCUGGACUCAUUGAAUUAAUUUCAUUGUUUUCAGAGAACCUUGACAACUGCAUAGAUUAUUUUUAAAGACAAUAAGCAUCUUUAAUGAUGCAGAUUUAUUAUUUGUGCGAAUGCAUUAAUAACAAUUCUAUUAAGCUGAUGCUUCAAUUUUGAAGUUAUU